CGGCGUUGCGGGCGGCGGCGCGGCUGGCGCGGCCGGUGCCGGCGCGGCUGCAACGGCCGGUGCGGGCUUCGGCUCGGCUGCGGCAGCGCCGC
rnacentral:tRNA from 1 species